rnacentral:lncRNA from 1 species
GGACCUCAGCUAUACAGAACUUUCACGAUAAUGGUAUUUGGUGAAUAUGGUUACAUUUAUAUAUGAACACAGAAAACCAACUACUGCUGGUAAAUAGCAUGAUCACUAUUGUUAUUAUCCAGUGCUGUAAGGACGAGAUGCUUUCACCAGCAGCCGAGUGAGAUGAAAGCGCUUUUCCGAUCCACCGAAUCAGUCCCACUGCAACUGUAAGCUGGAGACCCUCUGGGCCUUGGGAGCUCAGGCUGCCUGGGCAACGCAAGGGAGGACAGGGGCGGAGGGGGAGCCAGGAGGGCCGCACCUGCCUCGCUCGCUGGUCGCCCUCGCUCUGGGAUCCGUCCUGCCGGUCCCAGGCUGUUGAGGGCGCCUCCUCAGAGUCCCUGUGGCCCCCGCAGCUUCCCCGGAAGAAACCCGUGCAUCCAUCGGCUAGCCCAAGCCCAAGCUCCUCCCGGAGCUCCCCGAGCCGGGGCCAGGCCUCCGCCCCUCGGUGCCCGCGCCUGGGCUCCUCCCGCUGCGGGCCGCCCGCCCGGACGCAAGGCACAGGGGGACGCCCCGCCGAGCCGCUGCCCACUGCACCGAGUUUUUCGGAGGCUGGGAGAGGAAAUGCCACUUGGAUUUUAAAACCGUCACCGAUACGCUAUAGCCCUGCUUUCUCUACCUCCAGUCGUUUUCUGAGGACCGGCUUGGUGGGUGCUGAUGCCUGCCUGGAAGACCUCACACCCACAGUGUCUUAGAAGAUUCUGAAAGCAGUGUGAGACCAGAAUGACCAGCAAAGGAGAAAAGAACAAGGACACAUUGCAGCCAAAAUGGAGCUAGAAUCUUGCCUCUGUCCAUCCUUCACUGGAGUUAUCCUGGAUGGAGAAGGAACCAUAUCACCUGCAAAGCCUGGAAGGGGAGCCCUGCUGUGAGACCCAGAGAUGGAAGAUGGUCCUGACUUGAAAGUGCCAUUUGUGUAGUUCCAGUGCCCAGAGCUUCCUUCCUCACUGAUCCCUCCUGUGGGCUUGGACUCUGGCACACUGGCUGUGAAGUGUUUUUUGUUUUUUCCUUGAGACAGGGUCUUACUCUGUCACCCAGGAGGCUGGAGUGCAGUGGCGCUCCAGCACAGCAGAUCGUAGCUCACUGCAGCCUUGACCUCCUGGGCUCAAGUGAUCCUCCCACCUCAGCCUCCCGAGUAGCUAGAACUACAGGUGUGCACCACCACUUUUGGCUAAUGUUUUAUUUUUUGUGUAUAUGGAGUUUUACUAUGUUGGCCAGGCUGGUCUCAGACUCCUGGCUUCAAGCAAUUCCCCCGCCUUGGCCUCCCAAAGUGCUGAGAUGACAGGUGUGAGCCACUGUGCCUGGCCUGGCUCUGAAGUCUUGAUAAUUUCUUGGGAUAUCUUAGUGCAAAACUUGGAAGCCAUAUGGAGAAAUGCUGGUGCUGAUGGGGCAGUUGCUGGCCCUGCUGCCAAUCCUGUGACCAGCCCUGGGUCUCCCCUUCUGUCCUGAUGACUAUUUUGGUCCCCACCAGGAUGUCAUGAAAGUUCUCAGCCCAGCUGAGCUAAAGCCCUUGGCAACUCUUCCUUUCUUCUGGGCUGUGCUCUGCAGGACCAGGCAAAGAAUCAAAAGGCCAGACGAGCCAGACCAUAGAGCUGUGAGGGGCUGAAGAAUGUGGAGAAGCACUGUGUUUACUGCAGCACAGCUGCUAUAUGGAAAAGCCAGUGCAGCUCCGGCUACACUGACAGCUGUCUGAUGUCUCUCACACACAGAUGGAGAGGCUGACCCCAGACUUCCUUGGGCAGGUUACACCACAGCCGUGCAUUUGUUUCUAGCUACGCAGUUAAUGGGACAUGGAAGAACCAGACCUGCCUGAGUACCUAACAUGGCAAAGGGCCUUCGGAACAUGAAGAAUAGCAGAGAUAAGAAUGUUAAGCUUAGAAAAGACUUGAGGACUUUAAAGCUGCUUUCCUAUUUGAAAGGCUGUCUCAUGGAAAAGAGAUUGGACUUGUGUAUGUGUGUGUGUUUGGUGGGGGGCUUCGAGGGUUUGAACAAGGACCAGUGGAACACGGGUCAGAUUGGUAGAAGGAAGUUUCACUAAAAACCAAUUGGAGAGGCAGUAGUGUGGACAGGAACGCAGAGUCUGGAGUCAGACUAUUUGUCUCCAAAUCCUACUUUCUGUGCCUCUUACCUUGUCUGUGAAGGCGAGAUUAAAAAGUUGUACUUAUCUCAAAAAGUUGUUGUGAGGAAUAAGUAAAUUAAUAUGGGUAAAAUGCUUUAAAUAGCUUGGUUCAUGCUAAGUACUCAAUAAAUGUGAGGUGGAAAUGGAAACAUCUAUGAUUUGAUAAAUAAAGGCAGCAAGAUUCAAAUUGUA